AGAAAUACCUAGAUACUCUAUAAAAAAUUAUGAUAAAAAUAAGCUAAAUACACUUGAUCACUUCAAAUCUCUACCUAGUAAAAGUAUAUCAAGUAUCACAUUGAAGAAGAAUGAUAGUAGUCAACAAAAUAUUAUAGGCUGUAUCAAUUUAGAAUUUAAAGGAAUAUCUCAAUUAAUAUUCACACCAAGGGGUAAAAAAAAUAGUGAUAACAAACAAAAAAAUACACUAAGUCACAACAAAUCACUAUCUAAUAAAUAUAUAUAAAAAAUCUAGGGAGAAUUUAAAUGGAAAUGAAGUUCCACUCAUGUCAGCAAUUCCCACAUACUCCAGAAAACUAAAGGAUAAUAGACAACCAAUUAUACUAGAUCAUUUAGAACCAUCACCUACU